AACGAACGCUGGCGGCAGGCUUAACACAUGCAAGUCGAGCGCCCACCUCGGUGGGAGCGGCGCACGGGUGCGUAACACGUGGGAACGUACCCUUGGGUGCGGAACAACGCAGGGAAACUUGCGCUAAUACCGCAUAAUGUCUUCGGACCAAAGAUUUAUUGCCCAAGGAUCGGCCCGCGCCUGAUUAGCUAGUUGGUGAGGUAAGAGCUCACCAAGGCAACGAUCAGUAGCUGGUCUGAGAGGAUGAUCAGCCACACUGGGACUGAGACACGGCCCAGACUCCUACGGGAGGCAGCAGUGAGGAAUAUUGGACAAUGGAGGAAACUCUGAUCCAGCCAUGCCGCGUGAGUGAUGAAGGCCUCCGGGUUGUAAAGCUCUUUCAGAUGUGAAGAUGAUGACGGUAGCAUCAGAAGAAGCCCCGGCUAACUUCGUGCCAGCAGCCGCGGUAAUACGAAGGGGGCGAGCGUUGUUCGGAAUUACUGGGCUUAAAGCGUGCGUAGGCGGAUAAGAAAGUCAGAAGUGAAAGCCCAGGGCUUAACCUUGGAACUGCUUUUGAAACUUCUUGUCUAGAAACCGGGAGAGGCUGGCGGAAUAUCCAGUGUAGAGGUGAAAUCCGCAGAUAUUGGAUGGAACACCAGUGGCGAAGGCGGCCAGCUGGCCCGGUAUUGACGCUGAGGCACGAAAGCGUGGGGAGCAAACAGGAUUAGAUACCCUGGUAGUCCACGCUGUAAACGAUGUGUGCUAGCUGUUGGAGUCCUUAGGGCUUCGGCGGCGGAGAGAAAUCAUUAAGCACACCGCCUGGGGAGUACGGCCGCAAGGUUAAAACUCAAAGGAAUUGACGGGGACCCGCACAAGCGGUGGAGCAUGUUGUUUAAUUCGAAGCAACGCGAAGAACCUUACCUACCCUUGACAUACCAAGUAUGGUUUCCAGAGAUGGAUUCCUUCAGUUCGGCUGGCUUGGAUACAGGUGCUGCAUGGCUGUCGUCAGCUCGUGUCGUGAGAUGUUGGGUUAAGUCCCGCAACGAGCGCAACCCUUGUCGUCUGUUGCCAUCAGGUUAAGCUGGGCACUCUGACGAGACCGCCGGUGACAAGCCGGAGGAAGGUGGGGACGACGUCAAGUCAUCAUGGCCCUUACGGGUAGGGCUACAAACGUGCUACAAUGGCUGUGACAGUGGGCAGCGAGGCGGCGACGCCAAGCCAAUCCCAAAAAGCAGUCUCAGUUCGGAUUGUACUCUGCAACUCGAGUGCAUGAAGCUGGAAUCGCUAGUAAUCGUGGAUCAGCAUGCCACGGUGAAUACGUUCCCGGGUCUUGUACACACCGCCCGUCAAGUCAUGGAAGUUGGUUCUACCUGAAGACGCUGUGCUAACCGCAAGGAGGCAGGCGGCCACGGUAGGAUCAAUGACUGGG
rnacentral:rRNA from 1 species